rnacentral:rRNA from 1 species
GAUGAACGCUGGCGGCGUGCCUAAUACAUGCAAGUCGAGCGAACGGACGAGAAGCUUGCUUCUCUGAUGUUAGCGGCGGACGGGUGAGUAACACGUGGAUAAACUACCUAUAAGACUGGGAUAACUUCGGGAAACCGGAGCUAAUACCGGAUAAUAUUUUGAACCGCAUGGUUCAAAAGUGAAAGACGGUCUUGCUGUCACUUAUAGAUGGAUCCGCGCUGCAUUAGCUAGUUGGUAAGGUAACGGCUUACCAAGGCAACGAUGCAUAGCCGACCUGAGAGGGUGGUCGGCCACACUAGAACUGAGACACGGUCCAGACUCCUACGGGAGGCAGCAGUAGGGAAUCUUCCGCAAUGGGCGAAAGCCUGACGGAACAACGCCGCGUGAGUGAUGAAGGUCUUCUGAUCGUAAAACUCUGUUAUUAGGGAAGAACAUAUGUGUAAGUAACUGUGCACAUCUUGACGGUACCUAAUCAGAAAGCCACGGCUAACUACGUG